GGCCAGGGAGCGCUGCACGCGGGGCCCGGCCGCGCCCUCGGGGCCGAUCACGUAGAUCACCUGGAGGUACCACUGGUGUCCAGCUUCCACCUUCACCAAGGGCGAGAGGGAAUGUGAACCACGGCUUUCACAUCAGGGGGUUCUGGUCAGAGAAGUCGUGUGAGGGAUGCUCUCUGCUUUCCCAAGAGAGGCUGGAAGCCAGGUCGCCAUCUGCUGGCUGCCAGAGAAAAUCCCACGGGGAAGCAGGAGCAGGGGACUCACCAGGAGGAGGAACCGGUGUUUCAGGGCUGUAAGAUGCUCAAAAUGUCAUUUACUGCUGUGGAAGAGUCAAAGCCACAUCUGGGCUCUGCCCUUUACCCCCAGGAAAUGGAAGCUGUGAAGGCAGAAUCACCGGGCACAAGCAGAAGGGGAGAGGAGCACUGCCCUCACCUCUGAACUUGGCCUGAGUCCUGAACUCGAUGACCAGCCGGCCGUCCUCGCG